rnacentral:lncRNA from 1 species
AGCAACAGGCAGGCUUAUGAACUAAACACACCUGAUUUGGAUAUCUGGCUUGGGAGAAACGUCUGCCUUCCAGUUGGGUACACGAAUGAGCUUUUUAGAGAAUGGACUAGUAUGUGAACAAGUAGCCUUGGCUCCUGCAGACCACCACCAGCUAGGGCCGCUAGGCAGUGAUGGUGACUAUUCUCAACAGACUGCAAAAAAACCACAGUGAAUGUCAAAUUCCUUCCAAAGGAAAGGAUUGAUUCUGUUAUUAGAGAUAGGGAGACAUAAGCAGUUCUGAUGUCAUAACAUGUCCUCCAAGAGAAAAGGGAAGAGGCUAAAGAGGAAAAUGAUACACAAUGGGAGAAGGACCCAACAACCCUGUUAUCUUUGAAGAGGAUGGAAGGGGCCAUGAACCAGGAAUAAUCCAGAAUUCUAGCAUUUGAAAUCUCGAUAUUUUCCUAUGUGACCCUUUAAAAAAAUCUUCAGGGGUACACACCAAGCACGGGGAGGUUGUGAAAAAGAGAGAUAAGUCACGGGCCUUGUGGCAAGAAGAUCUGCUGCUCAGAUGGGAACCCCCUGGCCCCACCAUGCAGGAGGCAGGUUAUCACCUUAUAUUCAGUCUUUGCGUUAGAAAACAAAGCAGCAUUGUUCACUGUGAGCAGGAACAACAGCUGCAGUGGAGUCUGGACACAGGGACAGAAAUGCC